rnacentral:rRNA from 1 species
UACAGAGGUCUCAAGCGUUUGUUCGGAUUCAUUGGGCGUAAAGGGUGCGUAGGCGGCGCGGUAAGUCGGGUGUGAAAUCUCGGAGCUUAACUCGAAACUGCAUUCGAUACUGCCGUGCUUGAGGACUGGAGAGGAGACUGGAAUUUACGGUGUAGCGGUGAAAUGCGUAGAUAUCGUAAGGAAGACCAGUGGCGAAGGCGGGUCUCUGGACAGUUCCUGACGCUGAGGCACGAAGGUCAGGGGAGCAAACGGG